AAGUUUGAUCCUGGCUCAAUUGAACGCUGGCGGCAGGCCUAACACAUGCAAGUCGAACGGUAACAUCUCUAGCUUGCUAGAAGAUGACGAGUGGCGGACGGGUGAGUAAUGCUUGGGAACUUGCCUUUGCGAGGGGGAUAACAGUUGGAAACGACUGCUAAUACCGCAUAAUGUCUACGGACCAAACGGGGCUUUUAGCUCCGGCGCAAAGAGAGGCCCAAGUGAGAUUAGCUAGUUGGUAAGGUAACGGCUUACCAAGGCGACGAUCUCUAGCUGUUCUGAGAGGAAGAUCAGCCACACUGGGACUGAGACACGGCCCAGACUCCUACGGGAGGCAGCAGUGGGGAAUAUUGCACAAUGGGGGAAACCCUGAUGCAGCCAUGCCGCGUGCGUGAAGAAAGCCUUCGGGUUGUAAAGCACUUUCAGUUGUGAGGAAAAGUUAGUAGUUAAUACCUGCUAGCCGUGACGUUAACAACAGAAGAAGCACCGGCUAACUCCGUGCCAGCAGCCGCGGUAAUACGGAGGGUGCGAGCGUUAAUCGGAAUUACUGGGCGUAAAGCGCACGCAGGCGGUUUGUUAAGCUAGAUGUGAAAGCCCCGGGCUCAACCUGGGAUGGUCAUUUAGAACUGGCAGACUAGAGUCUUGGAGAGGGGAGUGGAAUUCCAGGUGUAGCGGUGAAAUGCGUAGAUAUCUGGAGGAACAUCAGUGGCGAAGGCGACUCCCUGGCCAAAGACUGACGCUCAUGUGCGAAAGUGUGGGUAGCGAACAGGAUUAGAUACCCUGGUAGUCCACACCGUAAACGCUGUCUACUAUCUGUGUGUGUCUUUAAGACGUGCGUAGCGAAGCUAACGCGCUAAGUAGACCGCCUGGGGAGUACGGCCGCAGGUUAAACUCAAUGAAUUGACGGAGGCCCGCACAAGCGGUGGAGCAUGUGAUUAAUUCGAUGCACGCGAGACCUUACCUACCCUGACAUGCUGAUAGUACUAGAGUAGUUUCGUGCCUUCGGACUCAUACCACGUGCUGCAUGCUGUCGUCAGCUCGUGUCCUGAAAUGUGGCUACGUCCCGCCACGAUCGCAACCCUGUCCUAGUGCAUCAUUAGAUGGGCACUCUAAGGAGCACUGGCGGUGACAACCGGAGCAGGUGGGAGCAACCUUAGUACUCUGUCCCUUCUGUAGGGUUACAUUGUGCUAGCAAUGGGCUUUUAUCCAAGAACGCGCACACCG
rnacentral:rRNA from 1 species